GCUGCUGAGUCAUCCCACUCUGGUAGCUAUUUAAACAGAAGCGUCCAGCCGGCACGCAAUCAACAGUCCACUCAGACAAUGCCCAGACCGCCAGAAAUCGUGUUCAGCUUGGAUUGCCCGUGACAAAAUGAGCCCAUCCAGCCGAUCCUCCAAUGGAACCUUAGCCCCAGGGGCCACCAAUUCCUGUUUCAACUUUUCUCACAGUCUUUCCAGUAUUUCUUUCAAGUCAGCAAACAUUGGCUGAGCACCUGUCACGGGUUAGGCGCUGACCUACAGGUGUUCCCUUCAGUGUGUCAGAUGAGGACUCUCUUCAUACUUGGCUGUCAUCUGUCAGCCACAACUGUCCUGUCCAGAAGCACUGGCUUUGGCUUUCAAGCCUGCUUCCUGGCUGGCUUCUUCCCCACUCCAUUAAGGAGGAUACCAUUCGAAAUCACAUGUGCUGCAGGUGCUGCUGAUGAAAGUGCUAAAGUUGCUGGAUGUGACUGACGUAUUUGGGAAGGACAGGACAGUGUGCCCAUGCAGUUGUUGUGUCCAAAUACUGUUCUUAUCUCCCAGUGGAAAGGUACUGUAAAUAAAGAGAAAGGCCCCUACCUUAUUUUAAACAUCUGAGCUAGGAGCUGUCCUAGGCACUACGUAAAAGCUGUAUUUAGUUCUUGCAGUAGUAGUGUCCUUAGGUUAGAAUCCCAUGUUAUAGACUGAGGAAAGUAUGGCUCAGAGAGGUUAAGAGACUUACCCAAGGUCACACAGCUCUACAAUUUUUGGUUGAGCGUGACUCUACACAGAUCUAUGUGAAUUUGAAUCUAGUCUUCUUUAAACUCCUGGUAUAGUUCACAGAAGGAGCUGUGGAACGUUAACACGGCAGUAAGAUUUCUGAUUCCAGUCUGAUUAUGAGUCUUUUAAACAUCAUAGCACAAGUUUCUGACUCCUUGCUCUGAAACAUGAAACUGAUUGGAACAAAUUAGAGUAGAAGGAAGCAACAAAUGUCUAGUAAAAUCUAAUUCAUCCAAUGAAAAGAUUGAUCAAUAUGUUUAAGUUCACAGAACUUUUAAGUAGAAUAAAAGACACACUGGGAGAGAGAUGUGGGGAAAAUAUGUCUGUUUUUAUGACUUGUUGAUAUCUAUGGGGUUUUUCCUUAAGCCUCAAAACAAUUUACAGCAUUGCCAGCAGCAUUCAGUACAUUCAGAACAGGAUCAUUUCACCCACAGCUGAACUAAGGCCAUGCCUGGGACAGCACCGAGAACAGCCUUCCAGCAGACAUGCCAGGGAGUAAGCCAGGGUCAGUGAGUGAAGAGGCAAGCAGGGCCAUUUAAAGCAACAUCGUUUAUGUAAGUGUGAUCUAAUUGCUUCCACUGGAAAUGGGUCAUAUUCAAGUCCAAAGAACCAGGGGCCUUAAUGACCCCAGUGAAAUCAGAAUAUGGCUUUUCUGUCAAUCUCCUCGGAGAGUAUGGCCCUCUGAUGAAAUAAUGAUGCUUGGAUUCAUUUCAGUCUGCCAGGUUUCCCACUCCCUUCUUGCUUCCUCACUGUUGAUUUGUUAUUUUUCUUUCUUUUUGGUUAAACACAUUAAACUCAACAGGAUAUAUCAUAUGACAGACUGGGAUAAAUUUACUACUGGGAAUAGGGGAAAAGUAUGGGACAAAGAAAUAGGUCUUUGUUGCCUCUCACAGUCGUGAUUCAGUUCUGACUCAAAAGGAAGUGUGCCACCUACUGAAUCACGGAAACCACUUCCUGUAGCUGUUUGGUUUAUUCUGGAAGGGCAUCAGGCCAAGUCCUGCCCUGCCCUGACCCUGACUGGCUCUUCAGAGCCAAGGCGUUCACAGCUUGAGGUGGUUUGGCCUCAGACUCUGAGAACAUGACAUAUUAAAUUACAAGUGUCUCAUUUCCUAGCAAGGAGUCUUCAGCAACAUGAAAAUGAACAUGUGUUAUUUGCAAACUGAGUGUAUCGUUACUCAACCUGAAUAUCCUUACUAUUUCAGAAGGUGGGUCUGGGGAUUCUACAGUGCCGCAGAACACAUCGGGCUCUUUACCGGGAUGUUCUGGAACCCAGGAGGCCCAUUCUGAGAUCAAGUCAACACUUGAAGUCCUGAGAAUCCCCUCUGAGAGCAAAAGGCUCUUUGUUCUUCUCUUCAGAGGGUCACAAUCGCUAAUGACAGAGAAUCUGUCAUUCCUCUGGUGGUCCAUGCCCAAUAGAUGCGUUCAAGAAUGGUUGCACAUCUGUGCAACAUGAAGCAAAUAAUUUACCCACCUUAUAGAAGAGGUCUGAGAAGUCAAGGAAACCAUAUCUAGAAUGGUGCUUGGCACACAAUAGGCUCCUUGUAAACAGAAGCCAUCACAAAGGCAACUUCUCUUAUUCUCAUUACUGUCACUGCUCUACUACUGUUACUUUGGUUGCAUCUAUAAAGCCAGCAGUUUUUCCUGGGUAUGACCAGUGGCCUUAGGUUUAACAAUAGCAUCCUACAGUUCAGGGUGUCUCCUCCUUUCUAAACCUGUAUUUUUCUUUGAACAGAUCAUAAAAACCUUAAAAUGACAUCCAGUUGAAAAUCCCUGUCAAGAAGAUACUGUCUGGGUUACUUACAAGUUUAAUCUUAGAGAGCAAUAUUUUUUCCCCAAGCAUAAAAUUAUAACAUUGAAUGUUUUUAAAAAAUCAUAUGUAACUCAAAUAUAAGUAAUGUUAAAAGAUAAACAGGCAUAUUAAAAUUAUUAAGUAUUUAUUUGAGCAAAGAUUGAAUUAAAUUGGGCAACACCAAACCAGAAGUGGUUAGGAGGGCUCCAGUGACAGGAGCCUGGGGAAAGAAUUUUCUAGAAAAGAACUGGAAGCAAAGUAAAAGAUUACUGGCAAUAGUGUAAGUAGUUGCAUUAAUUGGAAAAGACUCAUUGGCUGUUUGUGACAGGGUGUCCUUAGGUUUCGAUUUCUUAGCCUCAAGGCAUUUAUAGGCUUGAGUUUUGGUUUGCUUACUAGGCUGCUAAGGCAUUCGAACAACAUUAGACUAAUGGCCUCCUGACUUAAUUAACCUAAGGUAGGUUGUUUUGGCCCUGCCCUAAUUAAGGUCUAUUCUCUGUACAUUUGACAUAAAAGAAACGAAAGAAGAAACCAGAAGGAAAAGAAAAAGAAGAGGAGAAGAAGUAAGAAGAGAUGCAAAGGGGGGGAAAACAUCCCCAUCAAAAACACUGAAGAGAAAUGGAGGUUUUAUUGAAGCUCUCUCAAGCACUGUUGAGGCAUCUGUACUGUAGCGCACAUCACAAAUGUAACUACUGUCUUGCUGAAACCUUGUUUAUUUUCCCUCAGAGUUUCUCUUUCUAUAGAAAUCCCAACAUCUCCCUUCAUAUAGCUUCUUCCUGACUUGGAUGGCUCUUUUCUCACCUCUCAUCCUCCAGAUUAUCCCAGAGGUGGCCGGCCCCUCUGUUUUCAGAAAGAUCAAUUUAACCUCUUCUCAGCCUCCUUAGGUCCCCUCACCUAUCACGACAUCUGGCUCAACAAAGGACAGGAAGUUAGAUGCUAAGUGAAACUUCCCCAAAUCGAGACAUUCAGGUAGCCAACCAUUCUUAGAGCAAUUUACAGCAAGCAAAUAAAUUAGUUCACAAGAGUCUCAGAAACCCAACAGUAAUUUAAACCUUCAUCUCCAGGUACAGUUUUGCUACUGUUUUUGUUCUGCUCACUGAUGUAUAGCAAGUGCCCACAAGAACACUUGGCAUAAAUAUUUAUUGAAUAAAUAAACAGUUAGAGAAUUAGCAUUUCAAGAUAUCUUUUCUAUAGUUUUUCUCAAAUGUUUUGUGUGAGACAAGUUGUCACACAUGCAUGCCUCCAUAGAAAAGGAUACAAUUUUCUGUCAUUACUUUUUUAUUAUGUCAUUUUAGGUCAAAUGUUACAAAAAAUGAUAUUGAACUCUUAACCAAUCUAUUUUUUCCAUUGGAAUAUUGGCCUGACUGAGAAAUAACAUCAAGGAAAAAUUAUUUUUUUGGCAGAAAAAUGUCCUCACUAAAUUCUUGUAUGUUUUGUUUUGAUUUUUCCUUAGUGACUGGAGGUCAGUUUCAAUCCACUAAAGCACAGAUUCCAAAUUUUCAAUCUGGUUUUCUUGAGUACAGCCUGGGUGCCAAGAAUGAGGCAAUGACACAACAUCACUACCAAGACACACACACACACACACACUCACACACACACACACACACACACACACACACACCAGAGUCCAGGGCAUGUUCUGCUGACUUGCAGGCUUCUCCCCUCUAAAAGUUACUCUCAAAAUCAUACUUUUAAAUUUCAAAUGGAUCUAUUCCCUCUCUCUCUAGCCAAUUCUUAGUGACGUUUUUUGUCUAAUCCACUGAUCAGGGUCUUCCAGACCCUAUAAGCUAUCAUAAUGGAAUCAUCUAUUGACCAAAGAUAAUGUGUCCUCUACUUAUCCUUUCUUGCUUCCUUUUAAAACUUGGAUUUUCAAUAUGCUUGUGAGUGAAUCAAUGACUAUAAAUGUAAUUAUUGGAGAAACGAUCAUUUUGCUUUAGCCCAAUAAAAGAGGAACUAAGUAUUUUUGGCAGCCCCCAAAGAAUCACAUGUUAUUAAACACGUGUUGUAGAGGAGGGGUAGUGCCCUGAAGGAAAGAGUGGCACGCUAGACAGCCAAAAGAACAGACAUCCACUACAAGUAAUUUGAGUACCAGGUUUGGGUGAGACCCAUCUCUGCUGUGAGACUGGGGACAAUUCACUCAGUAUAAGCCUUAGUUUCUUCAGCUAUAACUCAAGUAUUGAUAUACUUGUCUCCUUACUUUGUAACUCUCCUUACUAAAGUUAACUGUAUCUGUUGUUCUGUGAGUCUUCAAUUCUCAGAUUAAUCUUUUCCGGUUAUAGCCACAUUCUCUAUCAUUGACAGAGAAGUUCACCUAGUUAUUUUGGCUUCUCUAAUCCUGCUGCUGAGAACACCUCUGAGGGAGCUUUCGGUCAGGAGCUGACAAUGGCAUUUAAGGUCACUUGUGCUGUUGGUAGAGAAGGAGAAUUUGAAAGGACACCAGUAUCUAACCACCAAUAAUAUAUAUAUAUUUAAUUUGGACCUAGUAACUUCCCUGAUAACGAUAUUUAGCUCAUAUUUGUUAUGUCCUAAUUAAUGCCAAGCUUUUUAGAAAAUCCAUCACCUCAUUUAAUUCUUACAGUCAUCCUUUGAAAUAAGGUUUCAGGGUGUUUGACUAUAGUUACGGGAAAAAAAAAACAACCCAGCCUCCAGCUAACUUAAGCAGUAGGGCCUUUGUUGGCCCACAUAACUGGUAGUCUAGAGAGGGUAGCUUCAGGGUUGGUUUAUGGAUCCAGUGGCUCUAAAAUGUCACCAGCUCCCCAGGUUCUGUCUCUGUCCUGAUAUCCACUGUUGGACCCCCUCUUGUACCAAUUUCCCUCUAUAGAAUGGCUAUCAACAGGAAACUUGCUUACUUACGUAUAUCUAGCAAAGGAGAGUGAGUACCCCCACA